rnacentral:tRNA from 1 species
ACCUGACUGGUUCAGCUGGAAGAACACGUGACUGUUGAUCUCAGGAUCAUGAGUUCAAGCCCCAUGUUGGGGG